rnacentral:lncRNA from 1 species
GAGAUACUCCGCUUGUUCGCCACCUGCUUCGAGCAGAGAGGCUGUCAGUCGCCACGGAGACGGAGAGAGAAGCCUUGUUUUCUCGCGGCUCGGCGAACUCGGGGCGCUUCGCACACGUCCGGCUGCGGCGCCUUCUAAGGAAUCGUGGGUGUCGGCCAGUCGUGAUUUUUUUCGGGCUGCAUGGGAAACACAGUUCUGGCAAAACCGUGACUGCAGGAAAGGUCAUGUGACCACGACCAGUGGCUGCGCCGCUGCUUUGAAGUGACGAGGGGAGAACGAACACGGCCCACACUGAUAAAGAUUCACAGCAGGAGCAGCAGCAGCAGCUACAGCAGCAGCAGUAACAUCCAGUAAGUUCAUCUAUCUACUCAGCUCAUCACUAUGAGUUAAUGACAAAAAUAAUAAG